GUUGCGGUGGCCGAGUGGUUAAGGCGUUGGACUCGAAAUGCAAUGGGAUCUUCCCGCGCAGGUUCGAAACCUGACCACAACA
rnacentral:tRNA from 2 species